UACGUAGGCAGCAAGCGUUGUUCGGAGUUACUGGGCGUAAAGGGUGUGUAGGCGGUUGGAUAAGUGUGGUGUGAAAUCUCCCGGCUUAACUGGGAGGGUGCGCUACAAACUGUCUGACUAGAGUGUGGGAUGGGAAAGUGGAAUUCCUGGUGUAGCGGUGAAAUGCGUAGAUAUCAGGAGGAACACCGGUGGUGUAGACGGCUUUCUGGACCAUAACUGACGCUGAAACACGAAAAGCGUGGGUAGCAAACAGG
rnacentral:rRNA from 1 species